GUCGACGUAGUCAUAGCUGAUGUCCCAAGCGAUGCUCCCUCCAAAUCGAAAGAUGUGGAAAUGAUCGACGCACCACCCAUUUGGGAAAUAUUGGUCAUCGAUGAGAUUAAUCCCCGCGUAAUUGAACACGAACCUCAAGCAUCCCCGGUUGAGGAACUUAAAAGCUUCUCGGUGGACUCCUGAGACCCAUCCAAAUUGUUGAAAGUGGGAAAAGGCUUGUCCAACAGUUUGAAAGAAAAGAUCAAGGAUUUCCUAAGUAGGAACCUUGAUGUCUUUGCUUGGAUACAUGAGGAAAUGGUAGGCAUAGAUCCCAAGGUC
rnacentral:lncRNA from 1 species